UUGUGCAACUACAGUUGCCACGUAAUGGUGUUUGUCAUAAUAUCAGCUCUUUAAACAAUAUAACGCCUCAUCUUAAAAUUAAGAUGUACUAGUAUCAUCCCAUUCCCUUACAAACAAAGAAACAUCCUUUUUGAGACUUGCAAUUUCAUUUCUUAGGCCUGGUACAUUUUUGGCUCGUAGAAAACACUUGACAAUCUACACGAAGGUCUCGUUGUCAAUUGUAACUAUUGACACCGAGUAUUGUAUUACAUCUUUCGCUCUUCGACAUUUUAGUCGAAUUCAAGACCAUGUUAGCAACUCAUUGACACUGAAUGAAGCCUUUUGAUGAAGUUUAUUGUCUUGCUAUUUAUGUUUUAAUAUCAGAAGCAUUGUCUCUCGACAGCAAUGUGGUAUAGUAAUGCAAAUGGCAUUACCUUUUCAGGUGUUUGGGAGAGCAAUUUAGUGGAGGUCGAACAUGAAUCUUAAACUUCAAUGCCAAUAUCAAAUCAUCAGUUUGGAAACAUUCUAUCCAUGACAACAUCCCAUAUUUUGGAUGAACAUUUUUUAUUCUGACACCAUUUCGAAUUCUGUGGUGCUCUAAGUUGGUAGUUUUCACAUAUUCAGCUGAUGAUUAUUGAGAGACCUGUUCGAACAUCGAGCUGAGCGAGGAUCCCGAAGACAGCAUUUGAAGAGCAAGAAACUAAUUUUAUAUCUUGUUAAUAAAACGCAGGUUUUUUUAAUUAUUGUGGAUUUUCUCAGGAAAUGAGAUGUUCUAAAUGGAAAGUUUUAGAAAUGCGCAUGACGGUGAGAUAACAAACAUCAAGAAUUUGAUAUUUAUGAAAUAUAUGAAUAGGAUGAUAUGCAAAA